AGUACGGCCGCAAGGUUAAAACUCAAAUGAAUUGACGGGGGCCCGCACAAGCGGUGGAGCAUGUGGUUUAAUUCGAUGCAACGCGAAGAACCUUACCUGGUCUUGACAUCCACGGAGGUUUUCAGAGAUGAGAAUGUGCCUUCGGGAACCGUGAGACAGGUGCUGCAUGGCUGUCGUCAGCUCGUGUUGUGAAAUGUUGGGUUAUGUCCCGCAACGAGCGCAACCCUUAUCCUUUGUUGCCAGCGGUCCGGCCGGGAACUCAAAGGAGACUGCCAGUGAUAAACUGGAGGAAGGUGAGGAUGACGUCAAGUCAUCAUGGCCCUUACGACCAGGGCUACACACGUGCUACAAUGGCGCAUACAAAGAGAAGCGACCUCGCGAGAGCAAGCGGACCUCAUAAAGUGCGUCGUAGUCCGGAUUGGAGUCUGCAACUCGACUCCAUGAAGUCGGAAUCGCUAGUAAUCGUGGAUCAGAAUGCCACGGUGAAUACGUUCCCGGGCCUUGUACACACCGCCCGUCACACCAUGGGAGUGGGUUGCAAAAGAAGUAGGUAGCUUAACCUUCGGGAGGGCGCUUACCACUUUGUGAUUCAUGACUGGGGUGAAGUCGUAACAAGGUAACC
rnacentral:rRNA from 1 species